rnacentral:rRNA from 1 species
UGCCUAACACAUGCAAGUCGAACGGUAACAGGUCUUCGGAUGCUGACGAGUGGCGCACGGGUGAGUAACGCGUGGAUAUCUGCCUAUGAGUGGGGGACAACUUUCGGAAACGAAAGCUAAUACCGCAUAAUCUCUACGGAGCAAAGCAGGGGACCUUUCGGGGCCUUGUGCUUAUAGAUGAGUCCGCGUCAGAUUAGCUAGUUGGUGGGGUAAGAGCCUACCAAGGCGAUGAUCUGUAGCUGGUUUGAGAGGAUGAUCAGUCACACUGGAACUGAGACACGGUCCAGACUCCUACGGGAGGCAGCAGUGGGGAAUUUUGCACAAUGGGCGCAAGCCUGAUGCAGCGAUGCCGCGUGUGGGAAGAAGGCCCUUGGGUUGUAAACCACUUUCAAUUGGGAAGAAGGGAUGAGUAUUAAUAAUUCUCUGACUUGACGGUACCUUUAGAAGAAGCACCGGCUAAUUUCGUGCCAGCAGCCGCGGUAAUACGAAAGGUGCAAGCGUUGUUCGGAUUUACUGGGCGUAAAGAGAUCGUAGGUGGUUUGUUAAGUUGGAUGUGAAAUCCCGGGGCUCAACCUCGGAACUGCAUCCAAAACUGGCGGACUUGAGUUCGGGAGGGGUAAGCGGAAUUCCGUGUGUAGCAGUGAAAUGCGUAGAUAUACGGAGGAACACCUGAGGCGAAGGCGGCUUACUGGACCGAUACUGACACUGAGGAUCGAAAGCGUGGGUAGCAAACAGGAUUAGAUACCCUGGUAGUCCACGCCCUAAACGAUGUCAACUAGCCGUUGCGGGUAUCGACCCCUGCAGUGGCGCAGCUAACGCGAUAAGUUGACCGCCUGGGGA